rnacentral:antisense_RNA from 1 species
AUACCCUUUUGAACAACGAGAUCUGAAAUGCUAGAGAUAAAGCAGCCAUCUGCUGGCCAUGAGAAGAGAGGCAAUAGGAAAAAAAACUACAUUCUAAAGAUGAAGCUGUGUUACCUGUAAUCUCUAGUACUGCUCUGCCCCCUUGUGCUGCUGCAGUGAACUCGACAGAGGAACAGUGUGCCUUCGUCUUUGUACAUGAACUACAGAAAAACCCCACUGUCACUUCUCACUUUUCUGCUGUAUUACAGGAACCGUUACAUAAAUGGAGAAAGUGAAAAUCAAUCCUAGCUGACAGUGACUUCGGGAUAAUCAGCACUCACUGGAUGCCUCUGUCAGUUCGCCUGCAUCAAACACCGUGUGACUUCUGUCAGAUCUUUUUAAUAAAACUAUAUUCUCACUUUCAGCAACCUAA